rnacentral:misc_RNA from 1 species
AUUUGGUUGAACCAAAGGAGUUUUCUGAAAGUGGAAGCAAGGAAUGCCUUCCUAACUAACUUAUGAUUGUGAUGAAUCAGAUAUUUCAACGGUACAGCAUUGCAAGUGCAGAAGCAACUCAUUGGUCAAACAAAUUGGCAACGUUUUGCUAAAAAUUUUCAUGGUUAUCUUUUCUUGAAUUAUGUUUAAUGUCUGGAAUGGGCUCCUCUCUGGUAUUAUUGAGAAACAGAACUGAUUAGAGUGGAAGCAUGGGUGAUAUUAUGGAAUGUCAAGAUAGCCUGAGUCA